UCCGAGUUGACCCCGGCAGUCUCCUACGAGUCCCCACCAUUACGUGCUGGCAACAUAGAAUAAGGGUUGCGCUCGUUGCGGGACUUAACCCAACAUCUCACGACACGAGCUGACGACAGCCAUGCAGCACCUGUGUACGACCCCGAAGGACACCGUAUCUCUACGGCUUUUCCGUACAUGUCAAGCCCAGGUAAGGUUCUUCGCGUUGCAUCGAAUUAAGCCACAUGCUCCGCCGCUUGUGCGGGCCCCCGUCAAUUCCUUUGAGUUUCAGCCUUGCGGCCGUACUCCCCAGGCGGGGCACUUACUGCGUUAGCGACGGCACUCAGAGGGUCGCUCCCCCAGGCACCUAGUGCCCAUCGUUUACGGCGUGGACUAC
rnacentral:misc_RNA from 1 species